CUUGCACCCCAACCCAAGAACCAGUGCUUCUGGUAGCAUUGGUUUAAACAGAGGUGCACACAGCAAGUGGACACUGUCACCUUUGGGAGCUGUGGCUGUGCCCCUCAAAGUGAAUGUGGAGGUUCCACAUCC
rnacentral:snoRNA from 1 species